GACGAACGCUGGCGGCGUGCCUAAUACAUGCAAGUCGAACGCAGUGGGGACGGGUGAGUAACACGUGGGUAACCUCCCCUCAGAGGGGAUAACCCUUGGAAACAGGUGCUCAACCGAUACUGCUGGAUGGACCCGCGGUGCAUUAGCUAGUUGGUGAGGUAACGGCUCACCAAGGCCACGAUCCAUAGCCGACCUGGGAGGUGGAUCGGCCACACUGGGACUGAGACACGGCCCAGACUCCUACGGGAGGCAGCAGUAGGGAAUCUUCGACAAUGGACGAAAGUCUGACCGAGCAAUGCCGCGUGAGUGAAGAAGGUUUUCGGAUCGUAAAACUCUGUUGUUAGAGAAGCGGUAUCUAACCAGAAAGCCACGGCUAACUACGUGCCAGCAGCCGCGGUAAUAC
rnacentral:rRNA from 1 species